CCUACGGGAGGCAGCAGUGAGGAAUAUUGGUCAAUGGACGUAAGUCUGAACCAGCCAAGUAGCGUGAAGGAUGACUGCCCUAUGGGUUGUAAACUUCUUUUAUAUGGGAAUAAAAUGUUCCACGUGUGGUGUUUUGUAGGUACCAUAUGAAUAAGGAUCGGCUAAUUCCGUGCCAGCAGCCGCGGUAAUACGGAGGAUCCGGGCGUUAUCCGGAUUUAUUGGGUUUAAAGGGAGCGUAGGUGGAUUGUUAAGUCUGUUGUGAAAUUUUGCGGCUCAACCGUAAAAUUGCAGCUGAAACUGGCAGUCUUGAGUACAGUAGAGGUAGGCGGAAUUCGUGGUGUAGCGGUGAAAUGCUUAGAUAUCACGAAGAACACCAGUGGCGAAGGCGGCUUUCUGGAGUGAAACUGACGCUGAGGCUCGAAAGCGUGGGGAGCGAACAGGAUUAGAUACCCUUGUAGUC
rnacentral:rRNA from 1 species